rnacentral:lncRNA from 1 species
CCGCCGUCCGGCGAGCCCGCGCCGCCCGGAUAAAACCCUAGGCGCCAGCCAGUGCCUGGCCGCCACGUGGCAGGUUCGUUUUUUUUCUUUUUCUCUUUAUUUUCUCAGCCGACAUAAAAGUGCACAUUUGCAGAAAAGCCCCCAGUGUUUCAAACCGUCAUAACUUUUAAACCACUUGUCCAAAUUUCACAAUCCACACCUUUUUGGAAUCCUUAGGAAAUGUAGAAUCUUUUGGCACUGUCCAAUUUCAAAUUUUAAUAUUUUAAUCACAUUCAAAUUACAGAUUAGAGUUUUAUGCCAUUUAAAUCAUAACUAUUUAUUUAGAAAUCCUUUUUAAUUGAAACCAGCGCCAAAAUUUUUUUUUAAUCAUCCUCUGUCCUUUGGGAUAGAGAAAUAAAUAUUUUGAACUAAAUUAUUUGGGUGUUGCCAAUAAAACUAUAAUUUAGGGUUUAAUCAAUUGUUUUUGCCUUUUGUUUAAAACCCUAUUGCAUUACUUUUAAGUACCAAUGCUUAGGAUCAGUUGAUCACCCAAAUAAAAUAAACCAAAUCAUGUCACGUGUUGCAUUGCAUCAUAGCAUAUCUUAAUUUGUCGUGAUGUGAAUUGUGUGUUUAUGUAUGUGUAUGUUUGCUUGUCUCGUAUAGUUUUUCGGAGAGCGAACCUUGCGAAUGUGACGAGUGUUUGAACUCGAACUACUGUGACAAAGGCAAGUUCACUUUGAUCAUUCACCUAUUAUUUUAUUAUGCACUAGAUUUUAUUAGUUG